AGAGUUUGAUCCUGGCUCAGGAUGAACGCUGGAGGCGCGCCUAACACAUGCAAGUCGAACGAUUAAAGCACCUUCGGGUGUGUAUAAAGUGGCGAACGGCUGAGUAACACGUGGGCAACCUGCCCCUCUCAUUGGGAUAGCCACGGGAAACCGUGGAUAAUACCGAAUACUUCGAGACUUCCGCAUGAAAGACUCGAGAAAGCUCC
rnacentral:rRNA from 1 species